GGCGGGUCAGAAUGUCUGAGAAGAUCAAGUGUGCUUCUCCACUGAUGAUGAUGAGCUGGAUACCAGCUUAUGGGCUAAUUUCUUUCAAGGACGGGACCAGAUGUGAUUGGAGUUGAAGACAAUGCUGAAGACCAAAGAAGCAAUGGAAGAAGCACAUUAAAGCAAUGAGGGUGUCCAGCCUGUUUGCCAUGUCAGAUCCACAGGCUAGAUGGCGGGAGAUGCUUCAUUAUACCCCUGAUUGCCUUUAAUUAUUAGUUGAUCGAUUAAUUAAUUUUAAUAUAUAUUUUUUAAUUAUCCUAUUAUAUUAAAUAAUUGGUCUCAGUUAACUAUUUCAUAUAU